AGCCACACAAGCUUCAUAGAGGUUCUCAGUGGGUAGGGUUGCUUCAUCCAUCCAUCCAGAAAGUAAGGCCCUCACUAACGCACCUCCCUAUAUCCAAGAUGCCACUUCUGCCCCCAGCACAAAAUGAGUUAGGCCUUGUAAGGCAGCACUCCGAAUGGAACCAUCCCCUCCCCCAAGGUGCCGGAAUGGGAGAGAGAGCAAAAGAGAAAAACCUGGCCGAUACUGGGGCUGCUAAGAAACCCCACCUGGUACAUCAACCACAGAAGGCCUCAGUUGCUUUAUAAUGUUGGUGUGAGAACGUAAGGUCAGACCCUCAUGAUUUCUUGCCUGGGCCAGAAGAAUUCCCUCUGAAGUGUCUAGCGUCUCGUCAUCAGUCCUUCUCCGGAUCCAUUCUUCAUCCUGCUGUCCACCGUCUUCCCAAACCACAGAUAGCUCCCAAUCACGCUCCAGCUCAAAAGUCUGCACCAGCUCCUCAUCUACUCGGUUCCUGAGAAUGUCUCCAUCUCCCAGAUCAAUGCAGUCCUCGGUGCUUAAAAGGAGGAUGUCUGGAUGGAUUUACCUCUGCUUGAAGGGAAACAAAACUCCUGGAACUUCGGCCAAGGCCCCAAAUGUGAGAAGCAUCUAUGGGAGCAAAGGUAGCUCUGCAGCGUGAUGGCGGUGCCCCUCCUAGCACGACAAUGCCACAACUUUUAAUAAAGAAGAUCAACUUUCAAACAAAGUUGAAACAAACAAACCCUCCUGUUUGAAGUUGCUUAAUAAAAAUUCCUCUAAAUACCAAUCCCAGCAAAGAAAACAGAGAGGACAACCUGAGGGAAUGGGGAUCAUUUCUCCCUGAGCAGUGACCAAGUUGCUGAGUGUCAAAAUGAGAAGCCAAGAAAACACCAGGUGAAGAAAGAAUCCUGGUUGGUAACGCUCACAUCGAUGUGGCUAAAAAGGCAGUGUGGUCCUGAAUAUUUGGCCUUCAUUUGGAAUUUCCUUGUUUUGGUGAAUUUAAGUCCUUAGCAUUAAUGUCAUGCAGUUAUUUUUGUAUGGUUUAUUUUCUUUUUCUUUUGGUCAUUCAAUAUUCAAAACAACAUAAAACGUACAUUCUUCUUCACACGGAGAGUGAAUUCAGCACCAACUCAAGCACAUAAUUCUUCCCGGCAUGGAAGGAGAUGCUGGACAUCUGCUCACCCCGGAUCUACAAAACAAUGUGGUACACGAGGUAACUCAGGGAGGAAGUCUCUUAUGAGGCUCCUCACGUCACACAUCUGAGCAGAGAGGCAAAAAUACAAGUCACAUCAGAGGUAAAGGACCUAGAAUUAGCUUAGUUGUUGUUGUUUUUUAAUCUGUUUGCUAUUUGUCUGUCCCCUUGAGAUUGAAGGCUGCAAGAGACC